AGAGUUUGAUCCUGGCUCAGAACGAACGCUGGCGGCAUGCCUAACACAUGCAAGUCGAACGGGAUCCGAGCUUCGGUUCGGUGAGAGUGGCGGACGGGUGAGUAACGCGUGGGAACCUGCCCAGUGGUGGGGGAUAACUGCGGGAAACUGCAGCUAAUACCGCAUGAGCCCGAGAGGGGAAAGAUUUAUCGCCAUUGGAGGGGCCCGCGUUUGAUUAGGUAGUUGGUGAGGUAACGGCUCACCAAGCCUUCGAUCAAUAGCUGGUCUGAGAGGAUGAUCAGCCACACUGGGACUGAGAUACGGCCCAGACUCCUACGGGAGGCAGCAGUGGGGAAUAUUGGACAAUGGGGGCAACCCUGAUCCAGCAAUGCCGCGUGAGUGAUGAAGGCCUUCGGGUUGUAAAGCUCUUUUGCCAGGGACGAUGAUGACGGUACCUGGAGAAUAAGCCCCGGCUAACUUCGUG
rnacentral:rRNA from 1 species